UACGUAGGGUGCGAGCGUUGUCCGGAAUUAUUGGGCGUAAAGAGCUCGUAGGCGGUGUGUCGCGUCGGCCGUGAAAACCUGGGGCUCAACUCUGGGCGUGCGGUCGAUACGGGCAUCACUUGAGUUCGGCAGGGGAGACUGGAAUUCCUGGUGUAGCGGUGAAAUGCGCAGAUAUCAGGAGGAACACCGGUGGCGAAGGCGGGUCUCUGGGCCGAUGACUGACGCUGAGGAGCGAAAGCAUGGGGAGCGAACAGG
rnacentral:rRNA from 1 species